GUUAUAUGGUCAAGUGAAGAAGCGCAUACGGUGGAUGCCUUGGCAGUCAGAGGCGAUGAAAGACGUGGUAGCCUGCGAAAAGCUUCGGGGAGUCGGCAAACAGACUGUGAUCCGGAGAUGUCUGAAUGGGGGAACCCAGCCAUCAUAAGAUGGUUAUCUUACGCUGAAUACAUAGGCGUAAGAGGCGAACCAGGGGAACUGAAACAUCUAAGUACCCUGAGGAAAAGAAAUCAACGGAGAUUCCCUUAGUAGUGGCGAGCGAACGGGGACCAGCCCUUAAGUUGUAUUGAGAUUAGCGGAACACUCUGGAAAGGGUGGCCAUAGUGGGUGAUAGCCCUGUACGCGAAAAUCCCUUUGCAAUGAAAUCGAGUAGGACGGGGCACGAGAAACCUUGUCUGAAUAUGGGGGGACCAUCCUCCAAGGCUAAAUACUACUGACUGACCGAUAGUGAACCAGUACCGUGAGGGAAAGGCGAAAAGAACCGCGGAGAGCGGAGUGAAAUAGAUCCUGAAACCGUAUGCGUACAAGCAGUGGGAGCCCACAUUGUUGGGUGACUGCGUACCUUUUGUAUAAUGGGUCAGCGACUUAUUUUCAGUGGCGAGCUUAACCGAAUAGGGGAGGCGUAGCGAAAGCGAGUCUUAAUAGGGCGUCUAGUCGCUGGGAAUAGACCCGAAACCGGGCGAUCUAUCCAUGGGCAGGUUGAAGGUUGGGUAACACUAACUGGAGGACCGAACCGACUACCGUUGAAAAGUUAGCGGAUGACCUGUGGAUCGGAGUGAAAGGCUAAUCAAGCUCGGAGAUAGCUGGUUCUCCUCGAAAGCUAUUUAGGUAGCGCCUCAUGUAUCACUGUAGGGGGUAGAGCACUGUUUCGGCUAGGGGGUCAUCCCGACUUACCAAACCGAUGCAAACUCCGAAUACCUACAAGUGCAGAGCAUGGGAGACACACGGCGGGUGCUAACGUCCGUCGUGAAAAGGGAAACAACCCAGACCGUCAGCUAAGGUCCCAAAGUCAUGGUUAAGUGGGAAACGAUGUGGGAAGGCUUAGACAGCUAGGAGGUUGGCUUAGAAGCAGCCACCCUUUAAAGAAAGCGUAAUAGCUCACUAGUCGAGUCGGCCUGCGCGGAAGAUGUAACGGGGCUCAAACCAUGCACCGAAGCUACGGGUAUCAUCUUUUGAUGAUGCGGUAGAGGAGCGUUCUGUAAGCCUGUGAAGGUGAGUUGAGAAGCUUGCUGGAGGUAUCAGAAGUGCGAAUGCUGACAUGAGUAACGACAAUGGGUGUGAAAAACACCCACGCCGAAAGACCAAGGUUUCCUGCGCAACGUUAAUCGACGCAGGGUUAGUCGGUCCCUAAGGCGAGGCUGAAAAGCGUAGUCGAUGGAAAACAGGUUAAUAUUCCUGUACUUCUGGUUAUUGCGAUGGAGGGACGGAGAAGGCUAGGCCAGCCUGGCGUUGGUUGUCCAGGUUUAAGGUGGUAGGCUGAGAUCUUAGGUAAAUCCGGGAUCUUAAGGCCGAGAGCUGAUGACGAGUGUUCUUUUAGAACACGAAGUGGUUGAUGCCAUGCUUCCAAGAAAAGCUUCUAAGCUUCAGGUAACCAGGAACCGUACCCCAAACCGACACAGGUGGUUGGGUAGAGAAUACCAAGGCGCUUGAGAGAACUCGGGUGAAGGAACUAGGCAAAAUGGCACCGUAACUUCGGGAGAAGGUGCGCCGGUGAGGGUGAAGCAUUUACUGCGUAAGCCCACGCCGGUCGAAGAUACCAGGCCGCUGCGACUGUUUAUUAAAAACACAGCACUCUGCAAACACGAAAGUGGACGUAUAGGGUGUGACGCCUGCCCGGUGCCGGAAGGUUAAUUGAUGGGGUUAGCGCAAGCGAAGCUCUUGAUCGAAGCCCCGGUAAACGGCGGCCGUAACUAUAACGGUCCUAAGGUAGCGAAAUUCCUUGUCGGGUAAGUUCCGACCUGCACGAAUGGCGUAACGAUGGCGGCGCUGUCUCCACCCGAGACUCAGUGAAAUUGAAAUCGCUGUGAAGAUGCAGUGUAUCCGCGGCUAGACGGAAAGACCCCGUGAACCUUUACUAUAGCUUUGCACUGGACUUUGAAUUUGCUUGUGUAGGAUAGGUGGGAGGCUUUGAAGCGUGGACGCCAGUUCGCGUGGAGCCAACCUUGAAAUACCACCCUGGCAACUUUGAGGUUCUAACUCAGGUCCGUUAUCCGGAUCGAGGACAGUGUAUGGUGGGUAGUUUGACUGGGGCGGUCUCCUCCUAAAGAGUAACGGAGGAGUACGAAGGUGCGCUCAGACCGGUCGGAAAUCGGUCGUAGAGUAUAAAGGCAAAAGCGCGCUUGACUGCGAGACAGACACGUCGAGCAGGUACGAAAGUAGGUCUUAGUGAUCCGGUGGUUCUGUAUGGAAGGGCCAUCGCUCAACGGAUAAAAGGUACUCCGGGGAUAACAGGCUGAUACCGCCCAAGAGUUCAUAUCGACGGCGGUGUUUGGCACCUCGAUGUCGGCUCAUCACAUCCUGGGGCUGAAGCCGGUCCCAAGGGUAUGGCUGUUCGCCAUUUAAAGUGGUACGCGAGCUGGGUUUAGAACGUCGUGAGACAGUUCGGUCCCUAUCUGCCGUGGACGUUUGAGAUUUGAGAGGGGCUGCUCCUAGUACGAGAGGACCGGAGUGGACGAACCUCUGGUGUUCCGGUUGUCACGCCAGUGGCAUUGCCGGGUAGCUAUGUUCGGAAAAGAUAACCGCUGAAAGCAUCUAAGCGGGAAACUUGCCUCAAGAUGAGAUCUCACUGGAACCUUGAGUUCCCUGAAGGGCCGUCGAAGACUACGACGUUGAUAGGUUGGGUGUGUAAGCGCUGUGAGGCGUUGAGCUAACCAAUACUAAUUGCCCGUGAGGCUUGACCAUAUAACACCCAAGCAAUU
rnacentral:rRNA from 1 species